rnacentral:lncRNA from 1 species
GUCGAGCAGUUCUUUUCCUCCUUGCUCGAAGGCAAGCCCCGGUUGCAUGAAAGCCCUGUGUUGUUUUCCAAACUUGCGCAUGCCUUCCUUAAAACAUGCUUGUGCAUUUACGUAUGGGAGUUGUUUGAAACCCUAGAUGCAUGACCUAGUUUCCUAUGAUCUGAACACUAGCUGUUGGACCGAGUAGCUGCUUUGCCUAACUAGGAGACGGUAAAAGCCGAGUGAUUCCUUGUCACUCGCGAGUUGUAGGAGUUGGAUGUUUACCUUUCUGUUACAACUAUAAGGACGAUGGACGGGGUAGGGUUUGGGUAACUCUUUGGUGGUCGGAUGAUCGCCCCGUCUAUCUAAGAAACUUGCUAAGGACCGACAGUGGUGGUGUUCGUGAUCAAGUGUUUGAAAGUACUAACCUCAUACUUAGUAUGGGAUGAGGAAGCCAAGUACCGGAUUGAACCUAGACGUGAGCGGUCGCCCCAUUGUUCUUGGAACGGAGUUUCCCCUGCUGGUUGUCGCACGUGGUGACAAGCGUGGUCGCAGAACGGCAGAGGCCGGGUCUGUGGAACCUUGCACCAAAGGAAAUGGGCCCGACACGGGUUAGGGGAUUGAUGGGGAAGGCCGACACAGGAAGCGACCUCCGGGUGCGCGGAUGUCGUGAGGUUAGGUUCACCAUGCAUGGUUAAAGAACUCGAAUCGAUUCGUCUGCCUCUCACAGUUUGAGAUUGCUUGAUUGCUAUGUCACCCUGAGUAAAUGAGGAAUCUGAUGAUGACAUGGUUUUGUUGAUAUAUACAUACCUUGUUUUGGUUCUAUGAUUGCUUAGAAUAGAUUGCAAAACCUAGAUCGGUUAAUGAACUUAGAACCGGAGCUAAAACUGGAAAAUAGGGUUUUGCUUAGUGCUUUUGGCAAACAAACCCCUCAGCCAAAAAGCCCUGCAUGUCUAGAAGUGUGGAGUAGUUUUACUCCUGUCAGUUAAGUCUUGUUGAGCUUAGUAGCUCAGCCUUGUUGUGGCUCCUAUUUUUCAGGUGAAGUUGCUGCUCCCGACCCUUCUCCUGCUGGCACUUGGCCGCCCCAGCUCCCUCCGGGUUGGACGGUCGAGUGGGAUCCCUCCUCGAACAGCGAGGAGAGGGAUCAGUGAUGUCCCUGCUGGCCUCACCAGGGAUGUCCGACCCCGACGUUGCUUCCGCUAGCAUUUUACCUUCUGUUGUUUUUUCUGAAAUCCUGUAAAAACUCUGAUGUUUAUUUCACAAUCAAACUAAGUGGUUAAGUUGUUAACCCGGUGGACUUGUUGUACUCUCUGGAACCGCUCACCUUCGUGUGAGUUUGCUAAAAUGGUCCUGUUCAAGUGGUUAAAUCGGAGGAAAAUCCGACGGCACUUCGUGUUUACUCGGCUUAGGCAUGAGCGUCGUGUAUCAGGGGGCUAAAUCAUGUUUAACCAAGUAGAUCCGAAGUAGAUCCGCCACACCCUGCUUAGGAUGACCCCCUGCAACCCUACUAACAACGUUUAGCAUCGUUCCUUGACUGUGUGUUGACUGGUGAAGUUCUAUGUUUGCAUGAUGAUGCUUGUCUUUAUGAAUUUGUCUGAUUUGUUUCUUUGUAAUGAUUGUUGGUGUAUUGAGGGUCUUCUACCUACAAUGACAUUAGUUGCGUAGCUGGGUUCUUAUUUUGUACCUCCCACAUCCUUGUCAUCUUUCUUUCUAUCUCCCUAUUCCAAUGAAGGACAUCAAGAAAGAAAGUGAAGGCAACACCAAUGUCAAUAAGCAGAUGUUAUCGUCACCACCACCGUCUAGAUGGAAGCUAGUUGAAGAAAAGAAGGCCUUACCCUCGUAUCCCUAAUCUUACUCCAAUGAUGAUUACAAGACCCAAGAAGAUGAAGAAAGCAGGGAGAUUCUACUCGCGACAAGCAAAGAUGAAAGACUAUCCACUCUGCAAUACGAAUCUUGUUUGUCUCCCUCCUCCUUGUUCCUUCUCUCUUCGAAUCUCGGGACAAGAUUCCUGUUAAGGGGGUAGUAUUGUCACACCCUAAAAUUUUUAAAUUUCAGGAUGUGAUUAAAAGGAAUAAUUAAACAACGAUUUUCUCAUAAUUUUAAAAAUUUUCCCAACAUUUAUUUUUCUUUACAGGAAUUUAGUAUAGGAAAAAUAAUUGUUUGUUUUUUGAAAUUUAAAAAUAUUGUUCUGUGUCUGCGCAUUCAUGCCGAUGCAUCUUAGUUUUUCUUGAGUGCAAAAACUUUUAAAAUGCAUUCAGACGAUGACCAAGUUUUUCUAAGAAUUUUUCAACUUUUUCUAGAAUUUAUUCUCAUUUUCAUUGAGCUUAAUCCAAUUUUUGGUUGGUUCUAUAAAUCCUUCUAGGAACUCUAUGUCUUCUAUUUGGGUUCCUUGUGUCCCAAAUCAUCUCCAAGAAUUUUCCUGAUUUUUUUUGGAGUUUUUGGGUAUUUUUCAUGAUUUAAUUAUGAUUUCAGGAUUUUCUGGAAUUGUUUCCAAAUCCAAAUUUAAUUCCUAAAAUUAGAAAAAAAGGAAAAUAAAUCCAGACUCCAGCCCGGCCUAUAAAUACUUUUCGGUGAUCUCCUUGAUGUCCUCUUUCCAACACCGCAAACCCCAUCUCGUUUCGACCACCUUGACUCCCGCAAUUCAACGCCAAACAUACACAUUUGUUAAACUCCGGCGAGUUUUUCGGUGAAACUCUAGAGAGCAAAUCUAGCAAAACCGUCAAUCCUCGGCCGAAGGUGAGCACACCAUCGCGCUGUUCUAUCGUCCUUGUUCCGUUUUACUGUCCAAUGACUCCGUUCCCGGCGAGCCCCUUUGACUAGGGUAUUACGCUAUUCUAGAGGUCUAAACUAGUAAAAAUAGUUGUCUUCGUGUUUACCACCGAGUUCUACACAUGCUGAAGACCCCCGAACAAUGUCCUGGGUAACCCCGUGAUGACUUGCUGGUCAUCAAACACCAACAAAGUGUCCAGUGAAUGUCAAUAAAAGAUGAACAUCAUGUAGCCUCCAUGUUUAGACAUGUGUUUAAUGUGUUUUUCAUGUUAGCUAUGACUAAUAUUGAGUAGCUCUAUAAUUGUAGUUGUUAUAUCAAUGUUUGUUUGUAUACAUGCUAUCUUGUUUAAAAACCAAAUGAAGAGCCUUGUUGCUUAUGUGCUGAAAUGGCUGCAUGCAUAGUUUCUGUUGUAGUGAUAAUUUCGUGAUGCAAAUGGUGUCAUCUGUGAAUAUGAUCCAUACAAAAGUUGUGGAUAACUUCCGUAUCUUGCUUGUCCUAAAAUUUCAUGAUUUUAGGCCUGCUUGUUAGGGAGUUAUAGAUUUUACAACUUCCCUAAAAGGUUUUGCAUGUGCUCUAUACAUAUCUGAAAGAUUGUGUUGUUUGACUUAGCUAAGCUGUGAAUCACCUCUUGGUGACAAUUAAAAAGUUGCAUUACUUUCUAUAAGAUUUCCAAAAUGUUAAAUAGCAUAUCUUUUGGGGGUUUAUAACUCCAGAUAUGGUUGUCUAAAGUUUAAUGUCAGAAUCUGUCCGAGUCUAGAUAGAUUUUCUUCUUGAUGUUGUUUGGUCUUGUUAACUGUUGAAUCACCUCGAGAUGGUAAUAAGAAAGUUAUAUAUAACUUCAUAAGAGCUCUAUAAAGUUAAGGAUCAUGCUUGUUGGAUGAAUAUAACUCCAGAUAUGCAUCUCUGAAGAUCAUGUUACUUUUCUAUCUUUGUUUAUGCAGUUCUGCUUCUUGGUGUGUUUUGACCUUGUUAGCUACAGAGUCUGUUGUUGGUAAUAAUAGAAAAGUUGUAGGUAAUUUAAUUACCUUUCCAUAAAGUCUAAUAUCACUCUUUUUGGAUGCCUAGAACUCUGGUUAUGGAUAAAACAAUUGAAUGCUGUGCUGCUGUCCAGAAUCUGUGUUUGUACCUAAAGUUGUUUGCUUCACCUUGCUUUGCUUUGUGUGUUGCUAAGUGCGGCUCAUGCCUUUGAUGGUGUUAAGUUAAUAUACCUGAGAACUUGUGAAACUUGUGUCAUGCUGGGUGCUACCUUCCUUGCUAUCCUAGCAUGAUAGGUUGUGUGAUGUUUAAUUAUGCAACGCGAAGUGCUUAUGUAUGUUUGGUGUAACUUUGUGCUUGUCUUGAAUGCUUUUAUGUGAUGCAUCUCAUGUUAUCAUUCUCCGCAUUCAUGCAUCUGCAUUGUUGCAUCUCAUCUAGGUAUGCUAGAUGCCCGACACGAGGAACUAAAAGAAUGGGGUGAUUGGAGCUGACCAGAAGAUGGUGUUGGUGGAUGGAUCCUAAAGAUGGAAGGACCCACUGGAGUACAUGCCUGGACAGGAGAUACUCGCCAAGCGAGUGUCAUCUAACAAACACUGACCUAGUGUUGGAUCCCAGGCAAGCCCUGAAGCAUUCUAAGUCUCCUACCCUCUCUUUUUGCAAAUGCACUCGAGUAUACUUUUGUGUUGUGCAUUAGGUUGACAGGAGUUGGAUGAAACCGUUGCUGCAUAACUUGACCUACCUUUUCCACAAUACACACACACACACUUGUACCAUUACUAGUAUGAUUAGGUCAACGAAUGCUUAGCCAUGCUUAUACUGGUAGAAGUCAGGUGAUUACUAUCACCUGCAAGAUAGGUGGCUACUCUGACAUGGUUGACUAUAUUUGCUAUCAUACAAAAGAACCAUGUGAUGAGGAAUAAAUCGAGACCGGGUAGGAUUUGGUGAUUGAGAGGCAGCAGGACAUGGAGGUCUUGGUGCAUGUUUUAUCCCGCCUGUGUCGGUUAAGGACCGUACCAUUGUUGGACCUUGCUCGAGAUUGAACGUACCCUUUCACUUAGUUGGUCGGAUAAGUCGUUCAGACCGCGAAGCUGAGUAACUCAAUUCGGGCUGGGAGAUGCUAUGUAUGACAUGCACACUCGAGGGGAGGAAGUAUGUGCGGGGGAUAGGGAGAACCUUCGGCAGGCUUGGCCUGUUGUCCUGGCUCCGGCUGCCCCUGAGUGUGCGGCUUAGCUCAAACCCACGACGUGUUCCCAAAUUGUGCCAAAGGUGACCUAAGGCUGCCUUCGUGCAAUAUGCCUGGGUUUGUAUUAUGGAUUUCUACCCAGCUGGUUACAAUCGAUUCGAAUCGCCGUCUCUCCCGAAUAGUGAAAAAGUUGAGGAGCUUCCAACAUCGUAGUAUUCUGAUGAAAGAUGAUGGUUCUGUGGAUUAUUUUUAUAAGCUGGAUAUGGUUAUUAUUGUAAUGCUCCAAACUUAGUCUUAAAUAGCUUCACUAAACUUGAUGCUAAAAUAUUGAAUAAAAUAUUGAAAGUAAGGACUCAGGAUAGUUAUGCUCUUUUGCAAAGUUAUGCUAUCCAACCGGCUCCACCAAAUAAGCCUUGCAUAUCCUUGAGAGUCUUUUCGUUUUCUCUCCUGUCAGGUAAGUCUAGCUGAGUACAUAGUACUCAGGGUUUUAUCCCACCCUGUUGCAAGUAAAGGUCUCGUCCUGCUGAAGGUGUGGCUAAGUGCUGGUGGGCUCGGCGACUUCGUAUUUAUUUCUCAUCCAUGCUAUUGUUGGUGGAUGUCAUCUAAGCUAGCAAUUUAUAUUUUGAAUUUACGUUAUUGUAAUCAUUUCAAAGCUAUAUGUUGUUUUCUCUAAUCAGAUUUCGAACUCGAACUUGUAUGCAUUAUUUGUGAACUCAAAUUGUAAUAUUAUUUCCGCUCCAAACUGUUGUAUGUGAUGUUUAUUGGCUUAAUCGUGCGAUUUUGAUUGUGAUGUGGAUUUACCGAGGUCCUUCAUGACACUCGGCGGACUACCAGGUUUAUUUAAAUGAAAGUGUGUGCAUGCUAACGUGUUAAGCGGGUCAGCCGUACUUGAUCUUGUAUAAAUUGGGCGGUUCUAUCACAGCUGGUAUCAGAGCAAGGUUAAGCAUAAUACUAUUAUGUACAUAGUUUUAAAACAAAGUUUUGGUUUUGAAAAGCCUAUUUUGACUAAAAAUUUAGCUAUAGGCAAGUUUGUCAAAUCUAUUUUUCAAAACUAUGCUAGCGACAACCUCCAAAUAAGUCCAAUUAAGGACCCUUAGGUGUUUUUUAGUAAACCAACACUAACUAUGGGGUGUUUACUUUCUUGCAAUUUAAAUUUAUGCAGCGUCGCACCUACACCUAGGUAAGAAGGUAAAGUAUGACCGCAAUAUGCUACCCUAUGGUCUAAUGGUGGAGGUAGCCUUCAUAUAGCAAUAUAUGAAGUAUAAAUUAUUUUACAUUUGUGCAACGACGCACCUACACCCAGGUAAGAAGGUAAAGUAUGACCACAAUACACUACCCUGUGGUCUAAUGGUGGAGGUAGCCUUCAUAUAGCAAUAUCUGAAGUAUAAACUGUGUUUAAUUUCUGUUAAAUAUAUAUAUUGUUGGGAUGGGCUAAAAUGAAAUCUUCUGCAGGUAUGCUAAACACGAAUGCGUAGAUUGAAUGUAACUGACUACUAGAGCUAUAUAUCGAGAGAGUACGAGUUAUGCCACCGAAAUAGAAUGUGAUUGCCACCUUAGGCUGGCAAUUUGGUGAGGGCGAAUAGGACAAGCAUGCAUCAUGAUUGUUGUCUUGUGCAUAAAUAUGCUUCCCUCACCCAUAUUCUAUUGAUGAAUGACUCGUUGCAACUAAGUGAUCAAUGUGAUGUUAUCUUCCUUGUGUGAUGAAAUUGUGGUAAGAUUGUAAAUUCAAUAUCUUGAGCUAGGAAGAUCCAAAUUGGGUGAAACAAAUUUUGUUAGUUUUGUCUUGAAAUUCUCUACUUGUUAGAAUUAUAAAAUAUCUAUUUGGUGAUGUUUUGUAUACAGUAUUCUUCAUGUAUGCUAAAUGCUCCUUAAACUUGAAAAAUAUGAAAUUGAAGUAAGGAAUGUCCAAAAAUUAUGGUUUCAGUUUUAUUAGCUUUGUCUUGUCAUGUACUAGCCAGCAAAAGUAAUGAACCUGCUUUGUAGAUGCUUUCACUAUGUUUUAUUGGUUUAACCUUGUUUAAUGCUUGUUUUCAUGCAAAAGUGAUUAUAAAAUUUAUAUGUAUCUUCUGCGUAUGAAAUAAUUUUCAUAGCUUCCUGAUACCAUUCUUGAUGCAAGAAAAAUAUAAAGUCUGUUGUUUGACACUAUUAACUAGCCUGAACCUAUUUAAGUUGUUUUCAGAAUGUUUUGCUUGCUCGGGUUGUGUAGGCUGUUCGACAUGCUCAAAAAUUCUGAAAUUUUUGCAGUAGCCUAUUGGUUGUAUGUAUGAGCUGCUGUAAUUUUUCCAGAAUUUAUUAAGCAUAGGAAGUAGGGGUUCCCUAUUUCUCCAUGUGUAGUGAGUAAAUUCAUAAAUGCUUGUAAACAAUUUAUUUGGGCUGCAACCUUAACUUUUCUAGCAUGUUUAGGAUGUAUCUUAGCUACUCUAAUUUUUGUAGGCAUGCACAAUUAUGUUUAGAUAACUUUGCCAGUUACAUAGCAAACACUGAAGCCAUAUAUUUCUUUGGAGGGGCUAAAUGAUUGGAACCUUUUUCUUCGAACGAAAGAAAAGAUGCCCCUGACUUCCUAAAGAAACUUUUUUUUUUCAAUGUUUGCUAACAAUAACAGGCAUACUUUACCAAAUCACAAUUACGAACUAUAACAAGCUGCACAAACUCAAGAAGUUAGCUACGGUUAUCUAUUUGUACCAAUAAUAUGUCAGUUUUUAAUUAAAAAGGAAAAUUGACAGAUCUUGUCUGGCAAUUCCAAUGUCUUGGGACCUAUGUGCCCUUUACAGGUAAUAAUGACUUAUUAAGAUCCUAAACAAGGAAAUUGAUGAUACACCACCUUUUGCACACAAAAAAAAUAUCAACCAAAAACUUGGAGUUUGGAUUGCAAUAUUUGUGGAACUUGUAGGGCGCAAAAAAGAAUAACUGUUUGGGAAACUUGUUAGCCAACUCAAUGACCUGGUGAGAGGGAAAAAAACAAAUGCUUCUAGCCCUUGUUUGGAAGCAUUACCCUUUUAUGUUUAUCAAAAAAAGACCUUUUACUAAAUCCAGUCCAGGCGACGUCUUCAAUAUCUACCUCUUCUAAUAGCAUUCCCCUUAAUCAGAUGGACUUUGCCCACAUCCUCCAUGAUGCAGAAACUAAUAGGGUUCGUAAUGACUAGCUAGUGUUCCUUGUUGUUAGUUACUUUGUGGCGAUCUAGGAGGAUUCACGCAACACAUAGGCCUUGCUAGCCAUGCCAUUUCUUCACUGCAGCAGCUAGGUACCAGGCUUGCAUAAUGCACCAGCUUGAUGGACAAGGUUGUGAAUGCUUUUAUUAAAUUAAUUUUAAAGAAUGCCAAUUUUCGGAUAAGAAAGAUCACAAAACUUUAUGUUCAGGGAUUUGAAUCAUGUAUCUUGCACUACUGCAGAUGAUUUGAACUGCAUUCUGUGUGUGUGUCACAAACUUAUGAAUGAAGAAGUGCUUUGCUAGUUGGUCUUGCCCGCUGUGUGUCUAGAACUUGCCAAAUAGUUCCAGCUGCUACUGCCAGUACGGUAGCUCCCUUGAUUGAAAAGAAAGAUCAGUUGAGAUUUGUGGCUGAGGAACAUAACUGAAUGGGAAUUAACAAGUCUGUCGUUCGAACUCUUGUGUCUUCAAGUUUUUUGACAAAUGAUGCUGUGAACGAGUGCAUCUCAUUUGAUAACUGGCUAGGGGGUCAAGAUCACUUUGGACAACAUCUUCUUUAACCUGCAGUGUAGAGUUUGUGUAAUUGUGUAGUUUCUAUCUCAAUCCACGAGUAUGCUUCACAGCAGCAGCAGCUACUAGCUAUCACUUGAAAAAACAGGGAGUAUGCACACAACACACUGAAAAAAAAUCUGAGAAAAUUGGCAUGUUCUUGGACCAAAUAAGCUUUCAAGGCCUCAUUUAUACUCACCAAUUGGAAAGCCUAGCAACUGACAGUGUAAAAACAACCAGAAAAUCAGCCGCCUUCAAAGCCUGCCCCUAGAUUACUCUAAUGUCUUAUUUGGAUGCAGAUCCAUCUAACCAAUCCACAUGGGUUGGGAGGGAUCGGGGGUGGAAAAUUAAUCCCUCCCAACCCAUAUGGUUUGGGGUGAAUUGGUGUGCAGCCAAACAAGCUCUAAAUGUCAUGACAAUACAUAUUAGCAUUGUCUGUGGCUCCGCAUACAACAAAAUACGGCGUGCCAAAAGCUAGAAAUGAACCCACAUCACAAUUAAUCACUUUUUUAUCACUAUAUAUGAUAGAAUUUUGGAGGUUGAGUCUUAUGUCACAGAAUUUUGCCUAGCUCCAACCAAUCAUUUUGAAUACUCGCUCAUAAGCUAGAAGAUGCCAUGUACAGUUUGCUGAGUACCACAACCAAAACAGCGUUGGAGCAAUUGCCAAUCCCAUUCCCAUAUCGAAAUUUGAAGCAUAUUAGCGUUUCAGAGGAACAUCAAAAGAUUAGAGCCAUUCGUACUUGUGCGGCGGGGGAAGGGUGCGGCGAUGCGGGAGGUGGUCAGGCCGCAGGGCACAGGAGCGCGGAGGAGAGCGCUCGGAGGGACACCGGCCGCACCGCCGCAGCGGCGGCUACCAUCUCAGCGCCGGUGCGGUCACCGGGCAGGCUCACUCAUGCAGGUAUACGAGAUCAAGCUUGCUAACCUUAUGAGAGGAAGAGGGGAAGGGAGAGGAGCGCACGAGAUCAAGCUUGGGGUUGGAGGUCCCGGUGGGUCAUGGGUGGACUGGAUUGGAGUGUGGCUACUGAGUAGGGUAGGUGUAGCACGUCGCACGUGGUGCGAGAAGCCGUGUGACAGUCUGAAGCGGCCGACGGCAGCGUCACCACUCGCUGGCGAGACGGCUCCGGCAAGGAGAAGGAGGUGCCAUCGGCUAAUGGCCACCGUUCGGUCAAGUUUGAACGAGCCAGAUCAAGGCUGGUCAGAGCAGAGGUCAGCAUAUCCCAAGUGGCAAGUUUGGAAAAAUCAUUAUUGCAGAUUCAAAUGCUAGUUAAAGUGACUUUAAAAAAAUAUUUAGCUUUAGUGUUCACAACGCACUGGUUCUUCGUACUGCAAUCUUCCAUGUUGGUUUAGAUUAGACGGCCAUCUUACGGGAAAUUUGGGAGCCAAAUAUUCUUUAAAAUGAAAAUGGUAUGAACUUUGCCAUUCACAUAAAAUACAAAUAUGAAUUUUAAAACAAACAAAAUUUAACUCAGUCAAAGCAGCACCCUAAACCAGACUGGGUGAAGGACAAGGCCUGAACGCCCCUCAAGAAAGAAAGAGAACGAGAGAGGGAGAGUAUAAGAGUGAUCUUAACGCUCUUCAACAUGCUCAAUAUCUUCCCUUGUUCUCAGACGUCAUUUGGUAUGCCACUUAUGAUUUCGGUUGGGCUUCUUCUAAAGGUUCCAAAAGAUAUGGAUCACUAUAUCAUUAAAGAUGACGGUACUUCUGCACUUGUUUAGCCACCCCUUCCCACCAUAUAUGAAUGGUUCAGGAGCCCUCAGGUCGGACGAGCUACCCCAUGUUGUAUCCUUCUCGCGCAAGGACUUGGCCCAAAACAAAUUUCGCAAAGGGACAGAGUAAGCAUAGGUGUGCGUGGCCACUGGUCCAUUGUAAUAACACAUGUGCCCUGGUGUGGCCAGCCUCAGGUCACAAGGUUGUCUGACGUUAGGAUCUUAACAUCAAAGUAAACAUGCGUCUUACAGUGGAGCAUUUGUUUUUCACAUGCGUCUUACAGCUAACUUUAUGCCUAGCAUAAGCACCUUUUGGAUACAAUAUGCUAAGUGCGUGGAGCAUUGUCCAUUGACCGUCUAUUUCCAAGUGACUAUAUCACGCACCUCGGGGCUGUAGCUAGGUCUAAUGCAAGCGGAUCCACAUGGAUACAAACUCAUCAAUCUCCAUUGCACUUGUAAUAACAUUGUGAAGUGAUCUUACCUAUAGGCGUCGUUUGUCGUUUCUUACUUCUUGCUCUCACUAUUUUGUUUUUACUUUUCACUAAUUCGAAUAGAUAUUGUCCUAGGUUUCUAGGUGCCUCACCAUCUGGAGUUGGUGCUACUUCUUUCCAAGGUUUCUAGGUGCCUCACCAUCUGGCCAGUUGGUGCUACUUCUUUCCAUUUUCAAUUGUGAUAGUAGCGGAGGCACUGGCGGAGCUUCAUUGGGCCAUAGUGAGCUAUGGCCCCCUCAUUUUUGCAAUUUUUAUAGAGGUUGCUACAAUACUUAUGUAUAUCUUGCUAGUAAAGAUUUAUAAUGGUCACCCCAACACUUCCUAAACCAUACAUGUUUACUUGUUGGCCUCCUCUAUAUUUAUCCUCAAGCUCCGCCGCUGAGCGAAGGCAUUUUGAAAAGUAGUAUCCCCAAGCGAUGACCAAUCAAUAGUGGAUGGCCUCGACGCCUAGUUGUGGUUGACCCCAAAUGCUCCCUGAAGUAAUCUGUGAUGACUUUUCUUUUAUCCUCAUAGGUGAAAGCCCUAGUUUGGUUUUGGCUAAUUGAUGAAACCUAGUGUACUAACCUUUGUCAUCAAGUGUUGUAUAUGAGAUAGGUUGGUAUACACCAAGCAAUGGAACUAGAUGGCAAACCAUGAUGAAGAUGGUGAUGGCCAAAAGAUGGUGAAUCAAGUGCUUCACAUCUGGAAAAGAAGAAAGAGAAAAACAAAAUGGAUUCAAGGCAAAGGUAUAUAACAGAUAGGGUCAUUUUGUUUUGGUGGCCAAGACACUAUAGAGAGUGUGACCACAUUUAGGAUAGAUGGUCGUACUAUUAAGAGGGGAGCUUAAUUGGACAAUUCGGUCAUCUAGUGCCACUAGGUGUUGGAAUACAUGCAUUGCAUUUAGGCCAAGUGCACAAGCGGUGAGCAAGUGAAAAUCCUUUGAAAAAUGAUUGAGAAAAUGCUAACACACAUGCACUGCUGGUGGAACACUUGAGGUGUUAUCACAUUUGCAAAGGAGAAGUUAGAGGCGAAGUUGAGCUCGAGGUGCAGCCAUCUGGGCAGCACCGGACAGGCAGUCCGGUGCACCGGACAUGGUGUCCAGUGUGACCUGGACUGGGUCCAGAGCUGCCUCACGCGCUCCAGCUCUCUGGUUGGCACCGUCGCGUCUGGUGUGCACCGGACAAGCCACCGGACUAGCUGUCCUGUGGCACCGCCCUAUUUCUCCAGAGAGUUCGGAAACUGGACUUUAAUGUGAGGGGGCCGCCAGACAGGCUGUCCGGUGCGUCGCCCUAUUCUUCCAGAGGCAUGGGAAAACUUGUUCUUCGAUGUUUGAGACUCACCACAUGGAGUGCCCGGUGCACCGGACCGGCUAUCCGAUGCUCUCUGACAGCCAACAGCUAGUUGGAACUAGUCGUUGAUUUUCGACCGUUAGGCGCACCGGACAGGCUGUUGAUUUUCUAUUUUGACAAUUGGAACUCGGUGACUGGCUUCGAAUUGGAACUCGGGAGCAGCGACUGGCUUCGAACUCAGUGACUGGCUUCAAAUUGGAACUCGGUGAGCAGCGACUGGCUUCGAAUUGGAACUCGGUGACUUGUUUCUCGUCGAGUAGAUUGAUUUUGAAGAUGAGGUCCUUCGAGCUCGCCUGAUGAUCUCGACGAUCUGCCCCACGAUGGGCGCCAGAUGUCGGUGUUUUAUACCAGCAACCCGCCUCGGGAGUACCCGGGCAGUAGAUUUGUUGGUGGGGGAUCAUCGGACCUGAAACUCGAAGGUAAAAGUGAGGACACAAGACACGGAUUUAUACAGGUUUGGGCCGCUAGAGUAGUGUCCCUACAUCCUGUUUGGGUGUUGUAUAUUGCGCCCUGCGCUUGGGUGUUGAGCUUAGGUGAGCUGUCAAUCUAGGUACCCUCGCCCUCCUUUAUAUAUCACAGGAGGUGGGAUUACUAGUCGGAUUACAAGGAGUCCUAGUAGGAGUACACGGGACUAGUCCUAGUCAGAUUACUGGGGAAUCCUAGUAGGAGUCCGACUUCUUCCUUCCUUGUGGGUACUGGGGAUCUAUCCCCGACAGUGCACCCUAGGUGAGGCAGCCGACUGAGCGACCAGAACUGUGACCGGAGCCCUAGCCCGGAUGGGCUGGGACCACGGGCCUUCGGUCGCCGUAUCCAAAAAGCACCUUUCCCAUAGCGCUUCCGACUGCCCACCAACAUCACCAAGUACACUAGGGAGACGAACCCCAGAGUGUGGCUUGAAGACUUCCGACUUGCCUGCCAAGCUGGAGGAGCCGAUGAUGACUAUUUCAUCAUACAGUACCUCCCUAUCUGCGUAGGGGAGUUCGUUCGAGCGUGGCUCGAGUUCCUUCUGCCCAACAGCAUCUGCGACUGGGCAAAACUGAGGCGGUAUUGCCAUCCGACCUCAACUAUGGCACUCCAAGGGUAAAGGUGUUCGACCCCAACCGAGCCACGGAGGCUCAACAGGACACGGUCGACCUACUCAAGGAGGUGCGCGAGACGGCGCUCAUCCCCUCCACCCGUUACAAGCAAACCCUUCGCAGGUACCACAAGAGGAAGAUUCGGGGAAGAACCCUCGAGGUCGGCAACCUCGUGCUCCGGAGGACCCAAACAACCAAGGACAAGCACAAGCUUUCUCCACCAUGGGAUGGACCGUACAAGGUGGCCGAGGUGAUCCAACCGGGCACUUACCGACUGAAGGACGACGACAGCCACAUCCUCACCAACACUUAGAACAUUGAGCAGUUACGUCAUUUAUUUCCUUAACUUGGUCCAUUACCAGUCCUUUUCCAUUCAACACUUGCUCCUACAGCACCCCAGCCCGAGCACUCUCGGCCUGGGUCGCUUGGGGGCUCCACAGGGGUGCAUCACCACCCCACCUUUACUUUUUGCAUAAUCACAAGCCUCGCCCAAACAAAAGGGCGCGCCCAAAUGAAAGGGCACCCCGUCCUCUAAUUCGCCCUAAAAGCAACUUGUGCUCUAGCUUGCAGACCGAUCGGACCCCGCCACGGCUACGGUUACGAGCAGCUGAGCCUCACGGGCCACGCCCGGGUUCUUAAGGUUGCAGCCUACGGUCAUCGGGCAGGUCUGAAAGGGAAAGGGUGAAAAGCAGAAAUUGCUUAAGGGCGAAAACGAGAACGGGCGGGACAAGCUCCCCAUCACGUUCACAAACAAACUUAAAAUUGUUCACUCAGAGGUCAUAGUCCCCCACAAACUUCUUUCAUACACAAAGAAACUAACUACCCCUAUUCUACCGCUCCCCCUCGGCCGAGUCGGUUGGCAGCGCAGCUGACAAGGAUGAGGGCUCCCCAGUCGCAGUCGAGUCGAUGCUCGGGUCGGUCUCGGUCAGGACAACGCCUGGCUCCAUCUCGGCCUGCACCACUGCAUCAGGAUUGGUGGAACCCUCCCGACUCGCGCGUGUGGCUAUCCACGUGUGGUUUCAUCCCAAGGAAGGCCUCGCAGACAAUGACAAAGAUAGCAAUAUGCUGCAACCCAUUAGGGUUGAGGUGUUGCAACUCCAACCCCCAGCGGUGAAGGAGCCCGCGCAGGAACCAAUGCAUGGGGUAUCCAAGCCCGCGCUCAUGGAAAGCGAGAAAGGAGACGACCUCAUCGGGCUCAAGUCACGGGACAACAAUCCUCGCCUCCGGUGCUCUCCAACCCACAACAGCCUUCGGCAGCAACAACCCCCUCCCCGCGAAGUCCUCCAGCAAAUCCUCCUUCACGGUGGACGGCCUCCAGUUCGACAUUGCCCAAUGGGGGGUGACGAACAGAUCUGUAUGGCUUCUUUCACUCUCUUCCUUGACCCUCCUCUCUCCCGAAACUCACCACAACGCGCAAGGAAGUUUUGGCGGAAGGGAGGAAUAGGAAGUGCUAGCGAUCGAGGGAAGAUGAAAGGUCGGGCUAGAAAACCUCCGCCUCUCCCCUUAUUUAAUGGGGGAAGGGGGCGCAGAUCCGUGGCAGACAGGAUGCAACCGACGGGAUGCAACCCUACACGACGGGGUGUGGCCUGGGAGGGGCCCACCUGCUACUGCAGGGAAAUCGCGAAAAACAGAGCACAACUGCAUGCAAGCGCCCCUUCGCAUUUCGAGGCAAGGGAGCGGAGGGACCCACCAUCAUAGCCUCCAUCGAACCAAGGCCAGCAGGCCACUCGGUCGGUCGGAUGGAGCAAAGGGACCCACUGUCAGAGCCUCCGUCGAACCAAGGCCAGCAGGCCACUCGGGUCGAUCGGACGGUUCGAGCAUCCGACGGGAGAUAGGCAAAAACAAGUGGAAAACUAACAUGCAGGACAUGCCGACCUUGUCACGAACAAUAGAUACGGAUUCCACUCGGGCGUACCCGCUAAGGGUGCCUCGAGCCUGUCACUCGAACUGUCGAGAUAAGCGACGACAGCUUAACCCCUCCGGUCAUGAAAAUCGUAGAUGGGGUGAUGCCUGAAUGUCCGACCGAGGUAACUUUACUGGCCCCCCACUUACUUUCUCUGUGAAUGAACACGCAUCCAUUCAUCCAUCUCAUGCAUGCAUGCAUCCAUUCAUGCAUCAUACAUUCAGCUCAUACGUGCAACCGUUGCAUCUUAACUGCUUUGCGUUGCGUCACAAAGCAAUAGCGGUUCAUUCAAUAUGAGCCGUGACCGACCGGGGUUCGAAGGCCAGCUCAUGAAGGGCUCGAGGCCGCCUCACAUCAAACAGAGCCAGGGGGAAAACGCUGAUGGAGCCCUGGCAGCCUUUGCUCGACCCGCUCAGAAGCAGACGGGAUCAUCUCGACCUUCUCGUUUGAUCCUGACCUCGAGCCAUGCCCACAGAAUCUCCAUCGAGGGGAGGCCAGCAGGCCACCUGAGUCGGUCUCCGGAAUGGCUCGGGCAUCUUCCGAGAGGCGGGUUAAGGAGCACUGGAAUGCCACAUGAGGGCUAUGCCAACCCCAUUACGAAUGACGGACCCGGAUUCCACACGGACAUACCCAUUAGCGAGCUCACCGAGUGCGUCACUCGAGCCAUCAAGGCAAGUAGCGUUAGCUUAGCCCCUCCGAUCGCAGAGACUGCGGACGUUGUGACGCAUGAAAACUCAACUGAUGCCGAUCGAGCCUGACGGGGCUCGGGGGUUCGGGCCAUCAAGUCCCGACUCGAGAACAUGACCGACGACACAGGUCACGGUCGGAACACACAUGAGCAAGCGUCCCAAUUUGCACUAAGGACCACAUCAUCCUGACUAACGGGGACACCAAUGUCCACGGCCUCAGAAAAGAGUACUAAUGUGCUUAGCCUCCGACCGACUCUCCAGGCUGGCAAUAGAUCCCCUUCUCAGGAGAAGGGCGCCAAUGUCCACUCGACUCACUUUUGGUCCAAGGGGUACCAAAGUGCUCAGCCUCUGACUGACUCUUUAGUCGGUCACAGGCUCGAGGGCUAGACCCACCGGGUUCGCUCGCGCAAACCCAGCAGAAGACGGACUACAAACAAGUCCCCUCUUCGGGAGCCGGGCACCCAAUGCAACUCGACGUGCCCCUGCAGCCCACGCUAGCCCUUCGCUCGGGAGCUGGGCGUCAGCAUCUAUCUGACGCGCCCCUGCAGCCUCUGCCAGUCGUCCCCUCGAGAGCUGGGCACCGUACCUACUCGAGGGCUAGAACGCCUGAACCUACUUGGCUACCAUACGCAAUGUGGGGAACAAAGGGAAAAUGUCCAAGGUCCCGACAAUAAUCUGCCUCAAUGGCACGAUGGGCACAAGAAUCACAUGUUGAAUACAAGCUUUCAUUAAGCUAGAAACAUAAGCCAAAGGUUUUACAAUAUCACGCAAAGCAUGCGAACACAGGAGCCCAAAGGCUUUACAAUAUCACACAAAGCAUGCGAACACAGGAGCCCAAAGGCUUUAUAAUAUCACGCAAAGCGUGUGAGUACAACCCAAGGACUACCCUACGACUUGGGACCGAAAGAAACAAAAAGACCGCAUGCACUGCAAGAAAGUUGCUCUCGAAACCUCUCUCGUCGACCCAUCAUCACCGUAAUGCGGCUCGUCCGCUUCAUGAACAAGACAAAAAUAAACAACACUACUGUGUGUUCCCCUGACCGAAUGGUGACCUGCCAACCGAAAGCCCCUUCACGGCUUCAACAAAGCCCCAAAGGGGCUCGGGGGCUCCUGAUGGGUCCAUAGACCCAGGGUUCCCAACGGGACUGCAUUCCCGUGACACUUGGCCCAACAAAGGGUACAACAACAACACACAUCUAGGCUGUGUAGCUAGGCUGAGACCACAAUCCGGCUACCAGUCGACUCCUCCGACCAGGAAGCCUGGUCAGAAAGAGCCAGUUAGGGGUGCGACCAUAGUCCAACCCCGACUGAGUUCUCCCGACUAAGCUCUCCCGACUGGGUACUCCUACCGAGUCCUCCCGAGUGGGGAUACGCCGUACCACCCAUACCGCUCCCCCCGACCGACUCGGUCGGGGCCGACUGGGACAACCGACCAGGGACGCCCGCUCAGUGUGGGCCCAGGGAGCAGGUGGGAUAGAUAACGAGGAAGCACCUGGGUCCUGGGUCAACUGGAUGUACGCAAAACCGUACCGUACCACACCCUGCGCACACCUAUAUAGUACCACCAUAAACCUACUCGCUACGAUGGAGUGUCUUGACAAGGAGAACAGGGACCAAGGACGGAGGCCAUACCGCACCAGAUGACGUGGGCUUUGACAAGACUAGGCAAUGUCCGUACACUUACUCUCUUAUCCUUUCCAACCUAUAAGGCUGUUCCCUUGUACUAUAAAAGGGGACGGACCCUCCACCUCUACGACUUACGCACUCUUACGUUCUUACACUCUUAUGCUUUCACACUCUUAUACACUUAGCGCACGUCUGAGCUCCUGCCACUCUCCUCCACUGGGACGAGAACAAGGUCAGGACUCUAGCACCCCCUCUCAUCCCUCUCUCAUUUGUACCCCUACUGCAAACUUUGAGCACCUGGGCUCAGGAAUAUAGUUGACCGACCGACCCCGACUGGAUGUAGGGCCGGUUGCCCGAACCAGUAUACAUCCUAUGUCAUUGUGUGCUAGGCCAUAUCCGAUCUAACACACGGCAAAACUACAAUAUUUGCUAGUCAGCCAGAUUUCGCACCAACAGAGUGAUUCUUUGACUCUCCCACGAGGCAAAAUCCAAUAAAUCCUCACAAAUAAUCCUCUAGAGCACCACACAAUCUUUAGUUGAGUGGUUCAAUAGAUUCUCACUUGCUCCAAGUAAUCUAGGUGGUGGCAGCUAGCAAGAGUGACAAGCAAAACCUGCAGCAAACACGAUCUCUAGUGCCACUCAAUACAAUCUCUCGAUCCAAUGCACUAUAAUCACACCAAACUCACUAAAGGAUCAGUCACUAGCAAGCAAAUGUGAGUGGAGGUGUUAUAUUUGUCCAAGCCCUAGCCAACAACUAUUUAUAAGCCCCAACACAAAACUACCCAUUAUGCUCUUUCACUACGUAGAAAACGUGAGCUCCGAAAAGCUCCAGUGAGCACCAGAGUGCUGCACCAAAUAAAGAGAUCCUACAACGGUAACUUGAAUUGUGCUCGACUAUGGUGAAAGUAGUCACUAUAACUCCGGUGAGUUCUUUGGUGCACUGGAGAGCUCCGGUCCGUGUUAGAGCUCAAAGUGCACAAAAAACACACUCUCUAGAGUUAAUCUCCAGUACACCUCUCCGGUGCCACACUGGAGAGACUCGGUGAGCUACUUUAAAAUUCUUAGCUCCUGCACAUGCACUAUUGUUCCAAAGCUCCAUUGCACACCAAAACGUUAGAUUUGAGUGCUUGAAAAUAGCAUGGCAGGGCCACUGUUUCAAAGCUCUAGUGCACCUCUUCAGUGUUAUAGCGGAUGCUAAGUUGCAAUAGCAGAAUAUUUGAAAUAGUGAAUUUUUUGAGUAUAUGACAAUACUAAUAUCAUGUUUUCUUACAAUGUUUAGAAGUUUUAGUUACAUAUUACAUUAAUGACAUAAAAUCGUAAAGAAGCAUAAAAAUGAAUAAGAUAAAAAGAAGACAUGUGGAUCACUACUACAUAAAUAGUUUUUUCCAACAGCAUUUUCACUGCUGGUUUUAUAAAACCAUUAGUGAUAAUAUAUCACAACCGGUUGAGAAUAAAACCCAUGGUGAAAAUUAUUUUCACAGUCGGUUUGGGAUAACAGCCAAUGGUGAAGGCCAUCCUAGUUUUCGCUGCUGGUUUGGGACACGAAUUGGCGGUAAAAAUGAUUUUCUGCUAGUUAAUAACAAAAACCAACCAUGAAAACUAUAGCCACAUGCAAAGUUGACCUGGCGGUGAAACACUAGUGGCUGGAGGCUGACAUACCCCUAUUUUGCUUCUUUAGAGUGGAUGACAUGUGGCGCCCACUUGCUCACGUGUCACCUCCCUAGUAGCCUCUGUGCGGAGGCAUGGAUUGAUGGUCCCCACCAUUUCUCUCCCUCUCGGUGAUAUUCAUGUGUGUCUUCCUCCCUCUCUCUCUAUACUCUCACUUUAUCUCUCACCUGUGAAGAUGGAGGCUCCUCAGCGUGGUGGUGAGCACUCAACGUCCAGCCUGGGAGCUCCCCUAGCGUGGUGUCAGGGGCUCAACGGCCACGCAUAGACGUCCCUUGGUGUGGCGGUGGUUUGUUCACUGCUACUAUUGCUAGAGUCUUAGGCCUUGGUUCAUUCAUUUAUCUCCUACUUGAAUUUGGUUUCCUAUCACAAAAUCAAUGUUCAUCAAUUCCCUGUUUUGAUGUUUAUAUAUACCUUGAUUACCUAAAUCUUCUUCACCUCCUCUAAUUUAUUACUACUAUUCCAAAUCCCUCUAUCCGUGUUUAUUUAUCCUUCCAUGACAAUUGAUUUUGAACUAACUUAGUUUACCCUCCCACCUUGCUUUGUUGUUUUAUCUCCUCCGAGAUGAUUUCUUGAUGUCAUUUAUUUAUCACAUCCAUGAAAAUUGUUGUUUGUAUCUAGUUGUCUUUGUUACUUAUUCCCUGUGUAACUAUUUGUCCCUAUUCUCCUAUUCCAUGCUCUUUCUCCAAUUGAUGUUGGAAACAUAUCUGGUGCAAACCAUCUACCCCGUGCAACCUUGGAAACUAUGAAUCAAGGUCACAUGAUGCUAAUCCAAUGGAUAGGGUUAGAGGUGGGAUUAUUUUACGCUUAAGCCUCCCCCACCCCCACCCACGGACGCCUGACUGCAGGGGGUAUUGGAAAAAGUGGCCGGCGGGUGGGGGGCUUAAGCGCAAAAUAAUCCCACCACUAACCCUAUCCAUUUGAUUAGCAUCUUGUAGCCUUGAUUCAUAGUUUCCAAGGUUGCAUGGGGUAGAUAGUUUGCACCAGAUACGUUCCCUUUGAUGUUUUACUCUCAAAGCAUCAUUUAUGUUGUCUUGUUCAAAAACCUAGAUGACCUCACACCAAUAACAUUUCUUACAAAGAGCAUAGAAGAUCCUCGGACACUCAGCUCUCAACCCAAAGCAUGAAGCUACAAGAGCAAACUGCUCCGAUGACUGACCUAAGCACGAGCUGGAUUUUCUAUUGGAGAACUUGAAAUGGUGCCGCUGAAGAAUGCAUUUGCACGAGAAUGAUUUUGGUUGAAGGCUACCUACACCAAGCUCAAUCCUCUCAUAAGAUAGCACCUGCUACCAUGCUUAGGAAAACACCUACAAGUUUAGUUUCUCCUUUGUGUUGGGUGAUAACUUUAUCUGAGCGUAUUUGUGAUGCUUGUUGUUAUGCCAUUUGGUGAAUUGGUUCUCUAUAAUGGUUGUUCAUGUGUUGUGCAAUGUUCACCCUCAAAAACAUCAGUUUACUCUUAAUUUAAUAAUAGUAUAGCUAGUAGUUGGGGUAUCUCUCUGUUUUUCACUACAUCAUGUCUACUCUUGUCUACUCCUGCUUUCCAUGCCUGGCUUUCUACCCAAUCCAAUGGAUGAGGUAACAGCAAGUGCUAGAGGGAUGCCAACAACGACUACAACAAUGUUUAAAACAAGAUGCCAAGUACAUCACCGCCUCAGUUCCACUGAAAACGAGAUCAAUGUUGACGGCCUCUACAGCAAAAAUAAACCAUCAACUUUAAUUGCAUUUAUUCUUGAAUCCAAUCACCAACAUAGGUAUAGGAGUUUAAAACUAAUCAUUUCCACAAGUCUUGGUGAAUAUUUGUACACAGGUUGAUUUAUCCAGAAAAUAGAUCAAAUGGCCCAUUGUCAUACACAUCAAGCAAUGAACCAAUGCCAACAAAUGUGCAAACCUGCAAAAACCCACUCAAGAUGAAGUAUAGACUCACUUACCAAACGGGGUGGCCCACCUACCAUGACAGGGGGUUGGCCGAUCCCUAGGGGAGGUCGCCCGACCUGCCAUGUGGACCCCCAUCCUCCACCGCCUCGUGCAUGUUUCUAAGAUCUACACCCUUGAUUCUAAGGCGGUUUUAAGUCGGUUUAUCCAACGGUGACUGAGAGAGUUGACGUGGAUCGAUGACGUGGCACUGACUUGCUCCCUACUCCAUCUCCCCCUAUAAAAGGACCCUAGACCCCGUCUCAGAAGGCAUCGAUCCCAAUUCAAUCCAAGAGAGGAUCCAUUCCGAGAAGAGAAGAGCUCCCACAAACUUAGAGAAUUAGCAUAGCUUAGUUAAGUUAGAUCUUUUUAGAAUCGGGCUUCUGCUCGAAUUUCGGACUCAGUCUUUGGAGGUUAGGUAUAGCCCUUGUAUUCGCUACAUUUAUCUUAUUCAGUGACUUUGAUCUUCAUUUGCAUUAUGUUCUUAGUUAUUAUGUUCAUAGUAUGCUUUGAUUAUAUGAUUAGUAUAGUCGGAGUAUCAAUAUAGUUAUGCAUAGGAUCACAGAGCGCUCAACUCGAGUGUUCGAAUGGGUUGGGUCAACGAACCUUGUGUAAGUGUGGUGCUUAUACAUUGUUUGCCUGUGGAUGCACCCUACAUUCCGGAACGUGUGGUAGAUCCCGGGAGUGACAGUCCUGUUGAUUCUCUGUAAUCCAUCUCCUUAUAUAGGACUAGUAGGACCCGGGUCACCACGGAGGAUGUAUAUUUCGCUAUGCUCCUCUUUAGAGAUGUCCCUUCUGCAUAAUUGUAAAGGUAAUCUUUUGCUAUUGCUAAGUAUAUAAAGAUGAUAACAUGCUUUUACUUGUAAUUAAGAAUGACCUGGAAUUUAUCUCAUUUUUAUUUAACUUAGACUAGCUAUUGCUACCUUUGGAGUCUCUCUCUGAAUGUUAUGCUUAUCAUAUACAUAUAUUCUUUUGGUUUACCCCUGGGUAGAGUAAGUGUUUAGUAACUUGAUCCAUCAUAAGUAUAAGUUUAUCAAUCUCUUUCUUGCCACCGUUCGUCCCUGUGCGCUUGCAGAAUUCUUACUUAUUUAUUUGCACUCAUAAAUACCAACAAUCAAGUACAUUUGAAGCGCUCUCUCUCCCUCCCUCCUCGAUAAGCACAUGUGUCUCUUUGUUGCUUUCGCAACUCUUCCCCAACUCAAACAUAAUGACAACUGCAACAACCAAGAAGGGACCACUGAUGAGAGCAGAAUGACAAUCGUAUCUUGGAAGAUGAACAAGAGCCUUUAUUAAGGGGGUAAAAACCCGUGCAAACACCAAAGCAGAAGGAAAACAUGAAAUUUUCAAAACCAUCCUUUUUCUUUCUUUCUAGCCUUUGCAAAUCUCGAGGACGAGAUCCUGUUAAGGGGAUAGCUUUGUCACACCCUCAAAAAAUUAAUUAUGGUGUGUGAGUGCAUCACAUAAAUGAAAAAAAUAUGAUGUUUUUUAAAAUUUUGGGUAGCUUUUAGUAAAUAGAUUGGUAUAUUUGUUCAUAGAAAAAAUAUUUUAAUUAAAUAAUUAUAUGUUAUAUAAAUGUUUGAUGCAUUCAUGCUGUUGCACUAUAAUUAUGGUUGAGGUAGAGUAAUUUAUUUGGUUUGUUUUUUAGAAAUCGUGUUAUGAGUUUCUAAAAUUCUGGUUUGGAAAAGUCCUUUUAAUUUAUUUCCUAUGCAACUGAGCCAUUUUUGGAGCAUCCCUUUGCUUUCCCAGGCCGGUGGGCAGCCCAUGCACCAGCACCCUCCUGUCUUGAGUCCUGCAGGUCAGCUCGUACCCUCCUGGCCUCCCAACCACAGCUGGCUGAGUUUGGGCUCUAUUCGUUUUCGUGCCUGUGCCGAGUACCUAGCCCAGCAGAGUCUUCUUUUUCCUUGGGUCGUCUUCUUCCUCACCGCCCAGGCCACUGGCAACCUCACCACCCGCCAUCCACCCCCGCCAUUCCUUUCGCGCCCUUCCCUAAUCCUAAUCGGAGAGUUCGCCGGCGACUCCUCACCCCCGCUGUCGACUCUGGCCAACCGGAUAUCUUUCCGCCUCCUUGCUCAACGCCCACAACCCGCCUCCACCACCAGGUGCCACCAGCCAUGGAUGCUCGCAAAAUCUAAAAUCCUAACCCACCGCCCCGCCUCGUCCACCACUCUGGCCACGGUGACCUAGUCGAUGGACGUUUCCUACACCGCCCGCCUCCUCCCCCUCGCAUUUCGCUGGUGUCAUCGCGCUUGGGGCAGCGAUGCACGUGCUCCAAAUAAGAAUUUGGCCUGCGGUCGUGCCCUCACGGUCGAGCCCGCCACCUCCGUCCUCAGUAUGUCGCUCUGGAGCCACACCGAAGCAAGAUGACUCCACCCAAGCUCGAUAUCGAUGUUCCAGUGCUGGAGUCUUCUCCAAGUCCCUCCAUCGGCUCCGGCUUCAACUGUUACCUCCGGUGUAGUCUAUCGUCGCUGAGGCUCCCCCUAUCUCGUAAGUCCGUACCCACCGGCUGUUUGGUUUUUUAGCCCUUUUUCAAAAGAUUCUCACAAAUAGGCUCCUAGUAGAAACAUUUCAGAAUCUGGACCCUUAGCUUGGCACCAUCCACGCUGGUGCCAAGCUUACACGUCUCGACGCUAGCGCUUCUGGUGUCUAGGUCAUUGCGCAGCUGGUGAUGUGGCUGUUGACAUGGUGCAGGGGCUUAGCUCCAGGCUGGGUGGCACCAAGCUUGGCACCAAGAUCUAUGGUGCCAAGCUUGGCGCCACCCAACCUGGCGCCAAGCUAGGUUACACAGACACGGGAGGUUUCCUUUCUCUGUUUCGCAUUGGACAUUUCCUCCGCUCGCCCGCCGCUCGUCCCCGCGGCUGGCCGCCCGCUCGGCGCUCCUUCCCGCGCCGGCCCGCCCGCCGCUCCCCGCGCCCGACCGGCCGCCCGCCGCUUCCCGUGGCCACCCGGCCGACCGUCCGCCUGGCGCUCCUCCCCGUGCCGGCCCACCCACCGCUCCCCGGUCCCGGCCGCCCGCCUGCCGCUCCUCGCGCCUGCCCGCCCGCCCGCCGCCGCAGGUCCACGCGCCUGGCCGCCCACCGCUGGUCCACGUGACGGCCCGCCCGCCGCCGUUCCCCGCACCGACCGUCCCCUACAAGGUAAAAGGAUAGUUAGAUACAAUUUAGAUAGAUAGAUAUAAUUUAGAUAGAAUAGUUAGAAUUUAGAUAGAUAGGUAUAAUAGUUUGAUAGAAUAGUUUGAUAUUGUAGUUGGAUAGAUAGUUAGAUAGAAUUUUCUUCAUAUGUGAUUUCUUUACAAAGUUAUAUAGUUAGUAUGGUAGUUAGUUAAAUAGUUAUAUACUUAGUUACAUAGUUAGUUAUUAGUACUUAAUAGUUAGUAGUGAAUUGAUAGUAUUUAUUUAGUUAGUUAUUUCAUACUAGAGAUCUUGUAUUUAGUAUGUUUCAUUUAUGUUUUACUAAAGGAAUUGUGCAUCGUUAUGUGUAUGGACUAGAUGGACAACCUAGUUAGCAUCUAUCAUGGAGGCACCGUGGAAAGAGAUCAUUAUGGAUAUGUUGAGCUUGUUGAGAUGCAAAGCGUGGCUGUGUUAUUCGAUGAGAAGCCUUCAUUUUGUGAGUUGGUUACAAGGACUUGGGAGGAGCUACAUUGCCAUGGAGAUGAUGGCAUCGUAGUGGAGGGUGUACUUCACCUAGGUACCCCUCCCAACCUUCUAAGGAAGAUGAUCCCAAUUCGAUGUGCAGACCAGUGGGAGAAGUAUGUGAGAUCGGUUAUGAAGUGCCAAUUCCAAAGUUUGGACGUGGUUGUGCGUCAGGUGUCAGUUGAUCCCAUCCCUCACUAGUCUUCCCUACCAAUGGGUCAGCAGGCACACUUCGACCCUUCCAUCCCGAAACCUGUUAUGGAUGUGGAGGUUGCACAUACAGUUCCCGAUGUUGAAUCUGCCCCCAAUGAGGUAGUUGGAGAUGCUUGUCCUCCUCAUGAGAUCCCGUUCACACAGAAUCAUCCGAGUAAGUGUCUUAUCCGCAUGCUUGUUGGGAGCUAACCCCCUUCAUUACAUCCAUUCUUUUCUUCUUUCCUCAUAUUUGUACUUAUGUUGUAGGAGACAUUCUUGACAAUGUGGAUGUGCUCCCAGUUGACUGACAAGUGCAUUGUGGAGAUAGAUUCCGUGGCUCCAAUAGUGUUGAAAUUAUGAAUGAUUCGGAUGCAUAUGAGAUGGGAAUGACUCUUGAAUCUGAUGAUGAUCGUCCUAUUGGAGAGAUGACAGAGAGUGAUGUUGAGAUGUUCAUGCGUAUCUUUCCUGGCUGCAGUGACCAAUAGUUCACGAGUUCAGCGAUCUUGCUCAUUCCAAUCAGGCAUGUGCAGAAGGACAUGAUGAUGAGCUCCUAGAAGCUCCUAAGACUGGUCCUAGCAUGGUAAUUGAGAAGGGUAGGGUAUUCAAGGACCUCCUUGCAUUGAAGAGGUGGUUGCAGGCAUUUGCAGUGAUACGAAAGAGACCUUACAAGGUCUUGCAUUCAUAUGCGGAGCACCGUUACACAGUUGUGUGUGACAAGGAAAGCUGCCCAUGGACAGUUUGUGCAAGAAAGCAAAAGGUCAUCGGGAAGUGAAAAAUCACAAAAGUUGUUAGGCCACACAAUUGUGCUGACCAUGAGCUUAGACUGAAGCAUCGGCAGUUGACAUCAACCCUCAUUGCCAAGCGGUUGUUGGGGAUAUUGCAGUUAGAACCCAACAUGAAGGUUAGGACAAUUAUCAGGACCGUUGAGGAGUUGUAUGGAGGUUAUGUGAUAAGUUCUAAUAAAGCUUGGAGAGCUAAGCAACGAGCGUGGAAGAUGAUAUAUGGGGACUGGGAGGCUGGGUAUGAGCAGUUGCUGGUACUUUUCAAUGCAAUCAAAGCGGUCAAUCCAGGCAUGCAUUAUGAGUACAUCCCAAAACCAAAUGAAUGGAAAGAUGGGAGGCAGAUAUUCUUCCGUACUUUCUGGUGCUUCCCUCAGUGUGUCGAGGCCUUUAGGCACUGUCGUCCCAUCUUCUCCAUUGAUGGUACGUUCUUGAUUGGCAAAUAUAGGGGCACACUUCUUAUAGCCAUAUCCUAUGACGCGAACAACAACUUGGUUCCUUUGGCAUUUGCAUUGGUUGAGAGGGAGAACAAUGACAAUUGGGGAUGGUUCUUAAGGCUAGUCCGGUUACAUGUGGUUGGGCCUGGCAGGGAGGUUGGCAUCAUAUCUGAUAGGCACCAGGGCAUACUUAAUGCCGUGAGAGAGCAGAUAGAGGGGUAUGCACCUUUGCACCAUCGUUGGUGUACUCGGCACCUUGCCGAGAAUCUACUCCGGAAGGAUGGUGUGAAGGAUAACUUUGAGCUGUUCCAGGAUGCUGCUAGGCAGCUUGAGGAUAGGUACUUUUAGCGUAAGUUGGAGCAGGUCAGGACCACAUCAAAUGUAGAAGGUAGACAAUGGCUCACAGGUUUGAUGAGGGAUUUGGAGAAAUAGACAAGAGCUCACGACGCCGGUGGAUGGAGGUACGAGUUUCAGUGCAGCAACAUGGCGAAGUCAUUCAAUAAGUUGUUAUUAGGGAUACAUGCUAUGCUCGUGAACGCAAUCAUUCAGUUCACCUUCUACAAGCCUGUUGCCUGGUUCAACGAUAGGCACGCCUAUGCAUUGAAGUUACAGAGUGUCGGAGAGAAAUGGCCUCCAAAACCAAAGGAACACCUAGAAAAGGCAAAAGAAAGGACGGGCACACAUGAGGUUACAUGUUUUGACCUCGCCACAGGGACUUAUCAGGUGGAGCAUAGGGACGGCACAACGUCCGACGGCGAGGUCCGAGAUUCGAGGAUGCAUGUGGUAGUCCUCUGAGAUUUCACAUGCACUUGUGGUAAACCAAGGCAGUACCACUUUCUAUGUUCUCAUUUGGUGGCAACAGCUAGGCAUCGCAACUUUGAUAUCGAGAGCAUGAUACCUCACGAGUUCAGUGUAGACACGCUUGUGCACAUAUGGAGCCCCUGCUUCGUGCCUUUUUGGGACAGUAGAGAGUGGCCUCCAUAUGAUGGACCAAAGUACAUUGCGGAUCCAGCUUGCCGAUGGAACAAGCGUGGAUCAAGGAAGAGAACGAGGCACAGGAUGAUUAUGGAUUAGAUACCCGGAAGAACGAGGCGUGGUAGAGCAACCCCAUUUCUUACUGACCCCGAGCAGAACGAGUGCGGCAAGUGCGGUAGACUAGGCCACAAUUCACGCACUUGCCAUUGGCAGAUUAGUGAGGUGCGACUAGUGGUUCUUCUCAUUAUUUCAUAUAUGUCGUAUUCAUUCAAUUAAUUAUGCAUGUCUCAAUUUAUGCUUCGUUGAUUUAUGUUUUGUUGUACAUUUCUAAGUUUAUGUUUUGUUGCAUACUUAAUUUAUAUUUCAUUGAUUUUUUUAGGAUGGCUCAAUUCCACCUGCUCAACUCGGUGUAUGACUAGACCCACCGAGGAUGUCUCAUAGCAGGGGGGUAGGUAAUAAUGUUUACUUGUUGAUCGAAUUUUUGUGAGCGUACAUGUGUUGUUCAUGAAAUAAUAGAAGACUGUGUUUCAUUUCAUGCAGGACCUUCCGCUCCUUCGUUCUAGAACCCACGAUGGGUUCUUGGACAUGCGGUACGAUGAGCGAUACACUUCUUUGCUGCAGGCUGCUGGCCUAGAUGUCAUCUCAUUUCAGGUUCAUCGUGGGUUGCCCAAGUUCAACUCAGCAGCCAUAACAGCGUUGGUUGACAGGUACUAUCUUUAAUCAUUGCGUCCCAAGGUUGCCAAUUGUUCAUGCCCUAGACUAUUUUGACAUGUAAUCUUCAUUUAUCUAAAUUGUAGGUGGCGGCCUGAGACUCAUACCUUUCACUUGCCUUUCAGAGAGAUGAUAGUUACACUCGAGGAUUGUCAGAAGAUGCUAGGUCUCACGAUUCGCGGUGAUGCAGUGACCGGGCCGUGCAGGUCAGAUGGUUGAAGAGAACGAGUAGCGGCCUUCGUUGGUCGUCAGGUUGAUGAGCAAGCUGCUCGCACUUCUAGUGUUCUAAUCUCCUGGCCCCAACAACAGUUUGCACAUUGCCCCAAGGAUGCAAAUGAGCAGACAGUUGGGAACUACUGCAGGGCAUGGAUCCUACACCUCUUUGCCUGCAUUCUCUUCCCCGACGCCACAGGUGACACUACGUCGUGGAUGUGGAUCCACUGCCUCACUGACUGGCACUAGGCGGGUCAGUACAGCUAGAGCUCUGCAGUUUUGGGUUUUCUCUAUCGGCAGUUGUGCGAGGCUUGUCGUUGGUCUUCGUCCUCAUCAUCACUUGGUGGAUGCGUGUACCAACUUCAAUUGUAGAUGUGGGCCCGUCUACCAGUUGGCCGUCCUGAGGUUCUGCCUCGUCGUGCAUGGUUCCCAGAUCAACCUCUGAGAUGACAGCCGCGUGGGCAUACCUUUGGGACAAGGUUAGGGUUCCCCACACGAGGUUGGAGUGGGCGUACCGCGAUUACACGAACGAGCUAGACACGCUCACAGUGUCUAGUGUAAGUAAAUUUUAUUUCACAUGCUGGUUUCAAUUGGUUUACUAUAUCAUCUAACAUCUUGUUUGGACAUGUUGCAGGUGUCGUGGGAGUCGUACGUAGGAGAGGGGGCACUUCCUUUUCCUUUGAGCUCAAUGUGUGGGAGCGACGAGGGCUUAUACAGGAUGAGGUGUCCUCUGAUAUUGUUUCUAUGCCGUCGAGUUCCACCUGCCUGACCGAGUUGCAUGCCAAUUUGGCAUGAGAUAGAUUUGGCCAACAACUCCAUUCUCAAUUGGCGUGGAGUUACACAUGUAAGUGUUUUGCUAUUUCAAUUAUUUCUGUUCUCGACUAUGGGCAGGUUAUAACAUCUUAUGUGACGUGCAGGUUGGAUCGAAAGAAGAAUAGGAAAGUUUUUUAGUGGCACGUAUACCACUAGCCUUUCAUUGAGCGUGGAGGAGUUCCAUGCCAACGUGGACGAGAACAACAAGCCGCACAUAAACAGUGAGUACAGGCGAUACCAAGCUUGGUACCAAGGUGUGACACGUUGCAGGUUGAGGGUACAAUGGACACAAGAUGACUACAGUGACAUCGAGUCCUCCGACGAUGAAGACACAUCGUACGACCAAAGUACUCGUGUAGGAAGGCAAGUAGAGGCAGGACCAAUCUUGGACAGAGUGGUAAGUCAAUUGCCUUAUGUUUCUAUGUUAGUGAUUUAGUGACUUGUUACAUUUAGUGACUUAGUGACUAAGGUAGAUUUACUGAUUUAGGUAGAUAGUGACUUAGUGACUAAGGUGAAAGAACAGGAGGAAGGCUCGGGUAGGAAGGGGGCGUGGUAAAAAUACGAAGCUUGGCGCCAGGCUGGGUGGCGCCAAGCUUGGCGCUGUAGAUCUUGGCGCCACUCAGCCUGGCACCAAGCUCCUGUGCCAUGUCAACAGCCACAUCACCAGCUGCGCAACGACCUAGACGCCAGAAGCGUUGGCACCGAGACGUGUAAGCUUGGCGCCAGCGUGGAUGGUGUCAAGAUAAGGGUCCAGAUUCUGAAAUGUUUCUGCCCGAGACCUAUUUAUGAGAAUCUUUCGAAAAAAAGGGCUAAAAAAUAAAAAAGUCAGCCGUACCCACCAGUCUGUGUGCCAAUCUCGACCCGAGUCAUGAAGCCAUCGUUAGGCUCCCCCUCUUCUCCUAAGUCCGUACCCACCGGUCUAUGUGCCAAUCUCGACACGAGUCAUGAAGCCGUCGUUCUCUUUUCUCUAUAAUAUUCAAUAUUUUUCUAUUUUCUUUUAUAUGGUAACAUAAUUUUUAUUUAGUUAUUAUGUAUACUCUACUAUUUAUAUAUUUUUUGUUACUUAUCUUUGCUAUUAUAUAUUUUAUUACGUAUCUUUGCUAUUUAUAUCUUUCGUUACCUAUUUGGUUAUUAUGUAUAUUCUUUGCUAUUUAUAUAUUUUGUUACGUAUCCUUGCUAUUUAUAUAUUUUGUUACCUAUGCUGGUUAUUAUGUAUACUAUUUGGUAUUUAUAUAUUUCAUUACGUGUCUUUGCUAUUUAUAUAUUUCGUUACGUUACCUAUAUGAUUGUUAUCAAUUUGAACGACCACCUAUGUCGGAAUCCUAGCUUCGCACCUAGCCACUCACCUCACCAUCACAACAGAUGCCGGUGUGCUCACACAACAGAUGUCGGUGUGCUCAUGCGUGUGUUGGUCGUUUACGUAUGAUUGUUGUCGGUUUGAACGGGCUCCUGUAUCGAAAUCCUAGGUCCAUCACAACAGAUGUCGAUGUGCUCUCCACGCCGAUGAAUCAACCCCGGAUCCACCAGCUGCCGCCAAGGCUCCUAACGACAGUCUUCUUCAACCGGUUUUGGACCAAUUCAAGGGUAAAUUAAGUACUCAGUCUCAACUCAACUCCAUACAAACUUUCUGAAUCUGAUUACAAAAUUUUGGUGCCUCUAAUUUAUACCGAUUUUAGCUCAAAAACUAAUCUUUCAAACAGAACCUAGUCUGAUACAAAUAGGAAACUUUUCCAAACAGGACCUAAGUCUGAUAGACUGGUACAAACAGGAGUGGUUUGCGUGGUUUCUAUUUUCCACAUUGCCACACAGCUCCGGUGAGGAGCUCUAGCAGUCUGGCUGCCCAGAGCCCAGGCGCUAUGGUAUUUCCGCUUUUCUGGAGAUCCAAAAGCACAGCACAUUAAACCGCAGAUUUCAAACAGCCAUCCGCAUAUCCAACCAAUAACUGAUUGCAACAGAAAUAAAUGCGAUGACUUGAAGCUCAAUAAAACUCUAGAUCGACUACGGACAUAAGACAUGCUUGUCAACUCUAGGGGAAUGUCAUGUCCAUAUUGCCACUGGAGUGUAGGAGCAAGUUGGCGAAGAAUGGAGAGGAAGGCUGUGAGAGGAGACUGAAGAAAACGGCAGACUGAAUGUGCCAGACGCGCUACAGCGCCUGUUGCCGGACGGCUAUCAGACAACGCGCGAGAGAAGGAUGUCGUGUUGAUUUGAGUUGUCAUCCUGGUGUAAGGCGUUGGGUUGUUAGGGUGGGCCCAAGGCCGUUGUAAAAACGCAUAUAAAGGUGUAAGCAUUACACAGACAAGGAAUAAACGAAGAUCAAUCACGCGCGAUUCACUAUACUGUCUAUUCCCUCUUUUAUGUUCCUCAUUCCUCGCUGUUCUUUCUUCCUCUUGUUGUUUCUCCCAAUUCUUCUCUGACUCAGUCGAGCACACGAUUGAAUCUAAUCCCAUCACGGUCUUGACGUGCUAAGACCACGACAAUUGGUAUCCAGAGCCGAAUCGCCCACAAAUUGCGCCAGAAAUUUUUUCAGAUCUCGGCGAGCAAUGGCGUCGCCACGGAAGCCGAUGAAGCUCCAAACUCAAAUGGCGGCUACAAUUGAGGAUCUCGUGAAGAAGUUUGAGAGCUUUGAGUUAAUGAUGCAGCAAUCACUGGAUAAGAUCAGUGGUUUGGAGGCUUGGCAAUCUACGACAGAGAAUUCCCUAGGCGCGCUGCUGAACAAGACUGAGGAGGCUUCAUCCCGGCUGCACUGCCUGGAAGCCGUGCCUCCUCCGCCUCCUCCGCAUCCACAAUAUCCAUCGUCGUCGAGUUGGGGCACCUCCAUCGACCUCAACGUUGCUCCGUCGCAGCUGGCGCGCUAGCUUCGGAGCAGCCCAAUGGGCACCGUCAGGACAACAUCAACCGGGACGUUGGCGGUGGGAUCCUUGGAUCCUGUCCGCCACGCCUGGUCACAGGUAUGUUUCAGGAUUUGCAUCCCCUUCCAUUUGAUAGUUCAUCAGGGAAUCACGAGCUUGGUGCCAGGCAACCACCUUUGCCAAAACUCGAGUUCCCUCGGUCUGAUGGAGAUAACCCUCGAUUAUGGUGUGAUCGCUGUGAUAUGUUCUUCGAGGUGUACUCUGUGAACCCCCAUUUGAAGACUUGGUUCGCAGCUCUCAACUUCAAGGGGACGGCAGCAGCUUGGAUGCAAUCAUCUGGAGCGGAGAGGCCGGAUUUUGGAUUGGGACAUGCUUUGUGAGGCAAUGUUUGAGCGCUUUGACAGAGAUCAAUAUCAUCUUCAGCUUCAGCAUCUUGAUGUCCUUCGUCAGAUAGGUUCUGUUGCUGAGUAUCUUGAGAAGUUUGAGGAAUUAGCUCAUGGUGUUCUCCUCUACAACACUGCCUAUGAUGACACCUAUUUUGUGACUUGGUUCAUGGGGGGCUUAAAGAAGAAAUUCAGGAGCCCAUUGCUUUACACAGACCUUGCAAUGUUUUGGAAGCAUCUUGGUUGGCUUUUGUGCAGGAAGAGGUUUUGGCUACUCAAUCAAGUAAGACUGUGGCCAAGAAGAAUCUCAGGUCCAAUUACAAGCCCAAUUUUGUUUCUGACAAGUUCAGACAGAAUGGCUCUGAAAAAGGGAGUUCAUCUAAAGCUAAAUCUAAAAAAUUAGAGUCUGAUGACAAAUUGCAGUCCCUGAUGCAGUUCAGAAAGAAAAAAGGUCUGUGUUUCAAGUGUGGGGAAAAAUGGGGCCAUAAUCACAAAUGUCCUGCUCAAGUUUCCCUCCAUGUUAUUGAGAAGUUGUUACAUGACUUAGAGCAGCCAGGGGACUGUUUUUCUGCUUCCAGUGAUUGUGAGGAAGAGGAUGCUAAUGUGGUUAUGGUUGUAGGUGACACCAUUUCUCAAAGUACUUCCAGGAGAAAAACCAUGAGGUUGCAUGGUCUGGUUGAUAAUCAGAAGAUUCUGAUUUUGGUGGAUUCAGGAAGUGUUGACUCUUUUAUUAGCGAGAGACCAAGUUGAGAUGUGUCUUGGUCUAUUUGUGAUGAGUGAUUGACUAGAUGAUUUGAGGCUUUACCGGUUGAGUCCUGACUUCAUAUGUGCAUGAUUAUCCUAACGGCUAACCGGAUGUGUUGUGUUUUGGUGUUUGUACAAAAUAUAUCUUGUGUGUUGUGUCUCUUGGCUUGUAAUGUGCAGGUGUAGGAUGCGACAUGGCGGUCGACGGCAUGAGGUGAAGGUUAAGCGCGAAAGGUCCAUGCCGAUGUACUAGGGCUAUGAAGGGUGGACAUGAGUAGGCUUGGAUCGAGGGACCCGAGGAGUCCGGGCGGAGUCAUAGGCGAUCCACAUGGUGCACAGAAGAGCAAGAGUACACAGACGGUGAUGGAGACGGUGUCGGUCGAGUCAAGCAAGACGGAGGCAAGUCGAGUAGGCGGCCUGGGAGCCGGGAGCAAAAGACUUGGAGGCGUCGAAGGCUUGGCGGAGGCUGGACACGCGUCAACAUCGGUGAGUCACGCCAGGUGGGCAUGCAAGAGGGUUCGACCUUAAAACCGGGGGUGAGUCAUGCUAGGAGGGUGUGCAUAGGGUUUGACCGGUUUGACCUUAAAACCGGGGGUGAGUCACGCUAGGUGGUGUGCAGAGGAUUUGGGUGGUUUAGGCCUCAAAAGCACCGCGCGGGCAAGUUUGCCGGUUUGGGCCUCAAAACCGGGGGCGAGUUCGGUGCGGCCGAACGGCGUCAAGUCGGAGGACGUGUGGCACCAUCGUGAAGCUUGCGUCGAGGCGAAGCGAAGUUGUGAAGGCGUCGGGUCCGUCCUAUGAACAAAGAAAAAGUUGAACAACUUUACCCCUGAGGGGUAUUUGGGUUGUAUGCUUAAUGUAAGGACAUUUUGGACAUUUGCGAAAUGCCUAUAUAUAUGAGAAGUGGCUGUUUGGGGCAGCAACCUCUUGGGCUAGUUGGUGGUAGUCUACUCAUUUGUUUUGUGAGAGGCCUUGGUAGAGGGAGAGAGGAGAGAAUCUUUGUUUGAUCUUUUCGCUAUCCUAGCUUUGAUUGUGCUAAGGAGUGGCUUGUAACCGAACAUGGUGAAGUAAUCCAAAGAUCUAUUUUGUGCCAUCUUAUUCCAUCCCAUUUGGAUUUGCAAUUUCCGUUUGUGUUCUUCGCAUUCUUGUUUUCUCCCUUUUCUUCCCUCUCACGUUUUUGGUCGAUUCGUGUUUUGUGGGGAGUUUUGAGUCAAUCCGGUUGUUUGGAAAUGAAUUAGGACGUGAGUUGAACCUUUCCACUAAAGGAAUUUGAUUGGAACCUCACGAGUUCAUAGAUCGGGUCGAUUCAAGUUCUAGGGUUGAAAAAGCGGUGUUCUUCACAAGAACUUUAAUUCCCUUUGUUUGGCUAAUCUUUUUGAUGAGAUCCUUUGGGAAUAUGUUUGUUAUGUUGUUGGGAAGCUAUGGUUAAAAUUUUAUGAUUUUUGGAGGUCGUUUGAUCGAGUUUCGGAUUUUUCUUCCAUCUCCACGCAAGCUGAAAUCUGGGAUUCCGAAAUAUUCCGGACCAAAUUUCGGAAAUUUCCGGACCUCCGGAAAUCUCCAGAGAUUUCUCCGAAAAAUUCCGCACGUCCGGAAUUUUCUGAAGGUUCCUCCGGAUUUUUCCGCAUAGAGGUGUUAGUUUUCAAAGUUACUCUUCCGGAGCUUGUUUAGAGCCUUUCUUGCUUCCGCUAUUCUCAAAUUGGGUUAUUAGCAUCAUUCCGAGGUCCACUAGCUCGUGCGUAGCUAACUGGGCUUGAUUUUGCUAGAAGAGAGGCUUGUGGGUUUUUGGCUGAGUUUCUUGAAGAAAAUUUGAAUCGGCUCCCAUUCACCCCCCUCUGGUCGCCUUUCCGGUCCUUCAAUUAGUGAAAAGCUAGCUGCUCAGUUACAUUAUCCUAUGGAAGCUUGUGAGGCCUCUCACUAUGUUACUACUGAUGGCAGUCCCAUGAUUUGCAAUAAGAGAAUUUCAAAUCUGUAGUGGGCAUCACAGAAGAAUACUUUUCUCACAGAUGUGGGUAUUUUGCCUCUUCAAUAUUUUGACAUGAUUGUAGGGCAAGGCUGGUUAGAAGACUGCAGUCCUAGGUGGGUACAUUGGAAGAAAAAGAUAAUGAAGUUUACUUAUCAAGGGAAGAGGAUAACAUUGCGAGGUGUUCCCUCUGAAGUAACCAAGUGCAACAGCUAUUAGUGCAAGAAAGUUACAAGGUCUUCUCAGAAGGAAGGCAGUAACUCAUUGUGUCCAAAUCUUACAUCAAGUGUCUAAGUGCCAACUGCAAACUGAGCUGGGGUCCAUAAACUCUGUUACUGACCUGGAUCAUUAUUCUGAUAAACCUGAAAUUCAGCAACAUUUGGUGGAUUACAAGCACCUCUUUCAAGAGCCAACAUCUUGACCUCCCUCUAGACAAUAUGAUCACCACAUUGCUUUGAUUCCUAGUGCUCAACCUGUCAAUGUCAGACCUUAUAGGUAUGCUCCUGCUCAAAAAACCGUAAUUAAGAAACAAUUGACUGAAAUGAUGAAAAAUGGAACCAUUAGGCCUAGCACCAGCCCAUCUGCAUCUCCUGUGCUUUUGGUCAGGAAGAAAGAUGGGACUUGGAGAUUUUGUGUUGAUUACAGGCACCUUAAUGCUAUCUCUGUCAAAAAUAAACAUCCUUUGCCCAUUGUUGAUGAAUUGUUGGAUGAACUAGCUAGUGCUAAGUGGUUUUCCAAAUUGGAUUUUAGAUCUGGGUAUCACCAGAUCAGGAUUGUGAAAGGGGAUGAGCACAAAACUGCUUUUAGAACAAAUAGUGGACUUUAUGAGUUUUUGGUUAUGCCAUUUGGUCUCACCAAUGCUCCAGCAACCUUUCAGAGCACCAUGAAUCAAAUUUUUGGACCAUUGAUGAGAAAGGGUGUCCUAGUUUUCAUGGAUGACAUAUUGGUUUAUACUCCAACUUAUGAGGCACAUGUGCAGUUGUUAAGGCAAGUUCUGGACAUUAUUCAGCAACAUUAGUUUUUGAUAAAGCUGCCUAAAGGCUCUUUUGCUAAGCAAUAUAUUGAAUAUUUGGGCCAUUGUAUCUCAGCUGAGGGGGUGUCCAUUGAACAAUCAAAAAUUACAGUUGUUCAACAAUGGCCAACACCUACCAAUCUGAAGUAAUUGAGAGGUCUUUUGGGCUUAACUUGUUAUUACAAAAAAUUCAUUAAGCAUUAUGGCAUGCUCAGUAAACCUUUGACUGAAUUACUGAAGAAAGGUACCCAGUUUUUGUGGACUUCUAUUACUGAUGAAGCAUUUCAGUUGCUCAAAAAAGCUUUGGUUCAAACACCUGUGUUGGCAAUUCCUGAUUUUCAACAGCCCUUUGUUUUGGAGACUGAUGCAAGUGAUUUGGGGCUGGGGGCUAUGCUUAUGCAGCAUGACAAUCCUGUGGCAUAUUUGAGCAAAGCUUUAAGUCCCAAAAACCAAGGGUUGUCUACUUAUGAAAAGAAGUGUUUAGCAAUUCUGAUGGCUGUGGACAAAUGGAGAUCUUAUUUGGAAGGCCAAGAGUUUAUCAUUAAAACUGAUCAUAAGAGUUUGUUAUACCUGAUUGAGCAAAGGGUUCAUACCAAAAUUCAGCACAAAGCUCUUUUAAACCUGAUGGACUUGCAAUUCAAAAUAGUUUAUAAGAUGGGUGUUUCUAAUGCAACAACAGAUGCACUAUCCAGAUGUCCAGUCAGUAAUGCUAUUUUUGCUAUUUCCUCUUGCACUCCUGCUUGGAUUGACAAACUGAAGGAAGGAUAUGCUGAUGAUGCUAUGGCACAAUAGCUGUUAACUGAAUUGGCUAUUUUAGACAAUGCUUCCCAAGAUUAUCAGCUUGUGGAUGGCAUAAUUAGGCAUAAGGGCAGAGUGUGGAUAGGCAACAAUGAGUUGGCUCAACAACAUAUUCUGCAAGCUCUACAUAGCAGUGGCAUAGGAGGUCACUCUGGUUUUCAUGCCACUUAUCAUAGGAUCAAACAACUGUUCUCCUGGCCAAAGAUGAAGCCUACCAUUCGGUCCUAUAUUCAGCAAUGUCCUAUUUGUCAACAAGCUAAAGUGGAACAUGUGAAGACUCCAGGUCUAUUGCAGCCAUUGCCUGUGCCUGCUGUUCCAUGGACCAUUGUUAGUAUGGACUUCAUUGAAGGACUACCUACAUCUAAUAGAAUGAAUGCAAUUUUGGCAGUGGUUGACAAGUUCACCAAAUAUGCUCAUUUUCUGCCACUUUCACAUCCCUUUACUACUUUGCAAGUGGCACAAUUAUACAUGGACAAUAUCUAUAAACUCCAUGGGUUGCCUGAGGCAAUUAUCUCUGACAGAAAAUUUUCACUAGCAAAGUUUAGCAAGAAUUGUUCAAAUUAUCUGAUACUCAAUUGUUGAUGAGUUAUUCUUACCAUCCACAAACGGAUGGCCAGACAGAGAGAUUGAAUCAGUGCCUUGAAGCCUUUUUGAGAUGUGUGUUCAUUCCUGUCCAAGACAAUGGAGUAAAUGGCUGUCCAUGGCUGAAUACUGGUAUAAUACUACUUUUCAUUCAGCAUUGGGUCAUACUCCAUUUGAAGUGUUGUAUGGUCAACCCCCAAGGCAUUUUGGUAUUACUAAUUUGACUGCCAGUUCAAUACCUGAUCUGGAGUCUUGGCUAUCAAAACGGAAUUUGUUGACAUCUCUAUUCAGCAGCAACUGUUACGAGCUCAACAAAGAAUGAAGUCGCAAGCUGAUAAAAAAAGGAACUGAAAGAGAAUUUCAUGUUGGGGAUUUGGUCUACCUAAAAUUACAACCUUACAUUCAGACUUCAGUUGCUCCCAGGUCUAAUCAGAAGCUCUCAUUCAAGUUUUAUGGCCCAUUCAAGAUUCUGCAAAGGGUGGGUCAGGUGGCCUAUAAGUUGGAUCUUCAUGAGGACUGUCGAAUUCAUCCAGUGCUUCAUGUAUCUCAACUUAUUAGAAAGCAUGUUGCUCCUUCUAUUACUAUCAGCCAGGAGUUGCCGGUUUUAUCAGCUAAUGCUCCACUACAAGUUUACCCUGUGGCGUUGCUUGAUCAUCUUUUGGUGUCUCAGGGGUCUUCGUCAGUUUCUCAGUUGCUAGUUCACUGGUCAGGUUUUCCUCCAACUUUAGCAACCUGGGAAGAGAUUAAUGACUUGCACCGAAGAUUUCCUGCAGCACCAGCUUGAGGGCAAGCUGGUUUUCAUGGAGGGGCAGUGUCAUAUCCCUGAUUGCCACUGGAGUGUAGGAGCAAGUUGGCGAAGAAUGGAGAGGAAGGCUGUGAGAGGAGACUGAAGAAAACGGCAGACUGAAUGUGCCAAAUGCGCUACAGCGCCUGUUGCCGGACAGCUAUCAGACAACGCACGAGAGAAGGAUGCCGUGCUGAUUUGAGCUGUCAUCCUGUAAGGCGUUGGGUUGUUAGGGUGGGCCCAAGGCUGUUGUAAAAACGCGUAUAAAGGUGUAAGCAUUACACAGACAAGGAAUAAACGAAGAUCAAUCACGGCUAUGCUGUCUGUUCCCUCUCUUUCUGUUCCUCGUUCUUCGCUGUUCUUCCUUCCCUUUUCGUUUCUCCCAAUUCUUCUCUGACUCAGUCGAGCACGAGUGAAUCUGAUCCCAUCGCGGUCUUGACGUGCUAAGACCGCAACAGGGAACAAUACCAGUCCACACGGACCUAGUGCCAACUAGCGGCAACACAAAGCAAUGGGGAACUAAUUCGACCACUACCAGCCUACAAUACAAGGAAAAAGGAGUGAGGGGAGAGGAAAUAAGCUACAAUAAUGGCACGGCACAGCUUCGACAGCAUUGAGCAUCUAAAACAAUGGGCUCGAACAACAUGCCCGCUCCGAAGAUUACUGUCCCUCGCCAGCAUCACCUUUCGAGGCUUC